UACAGAGGAUGCAAGCGUUAUCCGGAUUUACUGGGCGUAAAGCGCACGUAGGCGGAUCGUUAAGUCGGGGGUGAAAUCCUGGAGCCCAACUCCAGAACUGCCUUCGAUACUGGCGAUCUUGAGUCCGGAAGAGGUGAGUGGAACUCCUAGUGUAGAGGUGGAAUUCGUAGAUAUUAGGAAGAACACCAGUGGCGAAGGCGGCUCACUGGUCCGGUACUGACGCUGAGGUGCGAAAGCGUGGGGAGCAAACAGG
rnacentral:rRNA from 1 species